rnacentral:rRNA from 1 species
CCUACGGUGGUCUGCAGUGAGGAAUAGUGGUCAAUGGGCGCGAGCCUGAACCAGCCAAGUAGCGUGAAGGAUGACUGCCCUACGGGUUGUAAACUUCUUUUAUAAAGGAAUAAAGUGAGGCACGUGUGCCUUUUUGUAUGUACUUUAUGAAGACGGAUCGGCUAACUCCGUGCCAGCAGCCGCGGUAAUACGGAGGAUCCGAGCGUUAACCGGAUUUAUGGGGUUUAAAGGGAGCGUAGAUGGGUUGUUAAGUCAGUUGUGAAAGUUUGCGGCUCAACCGUAAAAUUGCAAUUGAUACUGGCAGCCUUGAGUACAGUUGGGGUAGGCGGCAUUCGUGGUGUAGCGGUGAAAUGCUUAGAUAUCACGAAGAACUCCGAUUGCGAAGGCAGCUUACUAAACUGCCACUGACAUUGAUGCUCGAAAGUGUGGGUAUCAAACAGGAUUAGAUACCCCUGGUAGUC